CUUUCGACCGUUCUGGGAUUUAUUGGCACUAACAUGUAUCGUUUGCUAUAGGUAUUUCCCUUUCGUGUUCCGCUGAGGUACUUUUUGUUUCGAAAAUUUGUUGUUGCAAGUUGGGAGCCCCUCCCGUCCACAGUCAUGUUCAACUUUUCACACGUCUUCUAGAACUUGAUUGACGAUUCUUUGUUCUCGCGCGCCAGAAUUGCUCACGCAUUGUCACUUUCAACGUAUCUUUGAUUGAUUUCGUUGUCGUUAAAGGAUUUGCGAUGUGGGUUGUUAAAGUUCUAAACACGGAUGUGCACUGUUUGCCGGUAUUAGUAGCGGUAGUGGUGUGCGUUUUCGCUCUUCUCCUCAUGGUCCGAGGUAAACCUCGAAGAGGAAAAGUAAGUCAUAGGCCAUUUAUCAAAACCAGAGGUCGUCGUCCUUCGCCAAGGAUAACUCUCCUUUUCGGCAACAGGGAAUUUCCAAAUGGCCUGACAUUCACUCCCAAAAAUUCUUCAAGUCAACCACCGCUGUCAAUUAGAUCUUCUCCUUUCAAAACAAGACAUGUUAGAAAUAUCCCAGAAAAGUGUUGUGGAAACCGCACAUGGCCAGAUGUCUUGACCUCUGCCAAUCACAGCCUGAAGCAAAAAGUUCCUCAGCCGAAAAAGAAAAAAUCCAUGAAGGAGAAAAAUAUAAAACCAAGAGUGUUGUUUGCAUCUCAAUCUGUCCAUGAAAAGCAGGUUGCUUCUGAGGAAGAUAAAGCUGAACUCAUUCUACAGGACAGGCUGAAACGCAGGGAUAAUGGACAUAUUGAACAAGCUAAGACUAGCGGUUUGUGUGAACCAGACCCAUCUUUGUCUUCAAAUGUCAAGGAAAGUUGUGGGCAUGCAGACAGUCUGGGUAAAUCAAUUUCUCCAUUGAAUACUAAAAUUCCACCAGAUGAUGGACAAGUUUCUCACAACAGCUCAGCAAGCACAGUAAAUAAUGAACAUUUGCCUAAGGUUGAGGCAAAAAUUGAUACAACUAGGCUGUCUGCAGAUGUACCUAAAACAGGAAAGCCCUAUGAAGUUAAAUGGGAUGAACAAAUUAAACAAGCUAAGACUGGAGUUUUGUGUGAGCCAGACCCAUCUUUAUCAUUAAAUGGCAAGGGAAGGUGCAGGCAUGUACAUAGUCAGGGUAAAUCAAUUUCUCCAUCAAAUACAAAGGUUUUAUUGGGAGAUGGACAAGUUUCUCAAAACAGAUCAACAAGCACAAGAAAUAGUGAACUUUCACUUAAGGUCGAGGCAAAAAUUGAUACAACUAUGCUGUCUGCAGAUGUAACUAAAACAGGAAAGUCCUAUGAAGUUAAAUGGGAUGAACAAAUCAAACAAGCUAAGACUGGUGUUUUGUGUGAGCCACACCCAUCUUUAUCAUUAAAUAGCAAGGAAAGGUGCAGGCAUGUACAUAGUCAGGGUAAAUCAAUUUCUCCAUCAAAUACAAAGGUUUUACUGGGAGAUGGACAAGUUUCUCAAAACAGAUCAGCAAGCACAAGAAAUAGUGAACUUUCACCUGAGCUUAAUUCAAAAGUUGGUACAAUUUGCUUGCCUGUAGAUGUAACUAAAAGAGAAAAGCCCUAUCAAGUUAAAUGGGAUGCAAAAAUUUCUAGAACUCCUUGUGAACGAUUUUCAUAUUUUUUAACUCUGAGAGAUGUAGAGUCUAUUUCACAUGUAUCUUCAGAACAUGGCUCAUCAUUUGUAACUUUUCUGCCCAUUGGAGGUCACACCUGCAGGCAAGGUCAAAGUCAGGAAAAUUUGUCAUCAACAACAACAACAACAACGAAUACAAGUUUAUGCCAAACUCUGCAGACUAAUGAUUGUCAUACAGAUAAGGUAGAGCACAAAGCUCCUGAAUCUUCCCAAAACACUUCUGCACCUGAUAACCGGGAAGUUGAUGAAAUUGAAUUGAUGGAUCUGUCUUGGGACAAUUCUGAUUGUUUUAGUGGAAACAGUGCAGGGUCCAGAGAAUCUAGCCCACUGGAACUUAUUAAGGAAGUGAGUUGUUCAUCUGACAACAGCAUUGGUAAGAGUGAACGUAAAAUGCGAUCAUCCAGGAAAAAGGCUGUAAAAUCUCACAAGAGAGAGGUGGUUAACUUUCACUGUAACAAUUGUGAUGUCAGUAAUGAUGCUGCACAUUUGUCCAAGACACAAUCAUCCACAGAGAAGAAUGGAAAAUUUCCCAUCCAGAAGCCAGUGACCUGUAACCAUAAGAACUCUGAUGCCAAUGAUGUUGUUGCUCAGGCAUCAAAGUCUGAAGUGCAUUGUAUACUGUGUGGUAUCAGAUUGUCUAAACCACAAUGUUUUUAUAGUUUGGGUUCCCUGUGCACUGAUGAUGACAUUUGUGAAACUACCUCAGAUGAUAUUAAUCGACAUCUUGUAAGUGAUGUUGACACAAACCCUCCAGCAGGGGAAGGUAAAGGUCACCCUGACACAGGAUACACCAGCAGUGAAGAACUUGAAAAUGAAAGCGUCUUGCCAAAAGAGGUGGAGGCAAUUCUUACUCACAAAAGACGAAGGACAGAUGGUUAUGAUGGUGAUCAUGAGAGUGACAGCAGUUUUGAAUCUUUUGUCUUUACAUUGUCUUCAAGUGAAGAUGAGCGAGAAGCAGUUUCAGUCAAGGAAUAUGUGAAACAGGAAACAAAUAAGAGACAGGAGAUGGCAAUAUCACAGACUAUAGAAAAGGUCCAGAAAUUAAUUGCAAAAGCUCCAGCUGAAAAAGAGUGAAUUAAUCACUAAGACAACAGGGUGAACUGGAGCAGCAUUUGACUUCAUGGAUGGUUAACUUACUAUCAUUAUUUAUUCAAAGUGAAAUGUGCCUGCAUUGAUAUACCACUAUUCAAGUUGUUCACCUUUCUCAUUUGUGAAAAGAAGGCUGUGGCAUGAGUUACCUUUCGAUAGCUGGGGUACCUAAGGACACUCCUGAUGUUAAAUUAGCUGCUAAAGGUCACAGACACCAUAAUAUUGUAAUGUGGGAGAAACAAAUGUCAACUACCAUGUCUCUUGAUUUGUCAUGAAUUGGAUCUUUCAUUCAAGGGACAUCUGCAGAACUACAAAUUGCCAUACUGGUUGUCUUCAUUGCCUUCCUCACUUCUUACGCUCUUCACUUCUGUCCACUGUGGUGUCAAUUUGCAGUGAGGGUGACUGUCUGUUUUAUAGGUAAAGAAGACUAGCUAAUUCAUGAUUUCACUGAAAUGUUCAUCCAAUGUUCUGUUUUUCAGGAUCAAUGUCAGUAUCUGAGCCACUUCACUGAUAACAAGUUAGGGUUAAUGUUGGGGAAAGGGAAGGGUAGGUGCACAGUUGCUCAGUUACUCACAUUGAGGUGAAUAUUGAUCCGUUUUUUGCAUAUGCAGGUAGAAAUUGUUUAGUUUUGUCUUUAACUGAGAUUGAAAAAUUCCAUGAUGACCUCGCAAGCUCUCUGACUUCUUGUAUUUAUUGGUGUCAUUCAUGCUGGUAUGAGUCUAAGCUUUUUCCAUAUUGUGUUUUUAUCCAUCUUCUCUUAUCCUCUCUGCACCCUUAAAUGAAGGCCAUGUCUUUUCCAUCGAGUAGAUGUGUCAACUGAAUACUUGCCUCCUGAUAUAUUUUUAUUUUCUAUCUCUUUUUAGCAAUAAAUCUCCUGGUGUCAUCUGAUAUCUAAUGUUCUCUGCGUGUACCUCUUCUACGACCUAUCACUGUUUCAGUGCAAUCCCUGACUGUCGUUUUAAUGUUGCUUUCACACUUUUACACCCACAUUAUUCCGUGAAGCUUCAAAGCUCUUGGAACGCUCUACUCAGAAUUUUCGGAUCAAUAUCAGUAUCUGGGCAACGGCCCACCUACCCCUCGGUUAGGGAAGGGUUAGGUGGGCAGUUGCCCAGAUACUGAUAUUGAUCCGAAUUUUCCUGGUUGGUCUGUGUCCGUCUGUAACAUUCCACGUAUUCUUGUGAAUGCCCA